ensembl:lncRNA
CAGAGAGGAUAAGAAAGUAAAGAUGAAGUAGCUGCUGUUCAUUUUUAGUGAGAAGUCUCUGGAAUGAAAGUGUCUUGCCUGACAGAGAUGUUGGUCAAGUGGAUCCCACUUUCCUGACACCACAUGUCCAGGAGGCAGUGCAGCUCAGGAGAGACAGACACAGAAGGCUGGGCAGUACAGAGCCGUUAAGAUUUAGGUUGCUAUGAAAUGCCUUCAGUUUGCUCCAGAGGCCAGCGCCCCAUCAUCUGGUCCACAGCAAGUGACCGAAACUGCUCAAGUUGCUCACUAAACUGCUCAAGUUGCUCUCAUUGUAACCAGUAGCCCACCUCCUACUAAGGCGACCAGCUUGCAGCGCUUGUUCUAAAUGUGAGCUCAUCCUUAUACAGUGAGAGAGAGAAUGAAUUUCUGUGAACUUGUGUUCUGCACCUCUAUUUAUACAUCCACAUGU